rnacentral:rRNA from 1 species
ACGGAAGGCAGCAGUGGGGGGUAUUGCACAAUGGGCGAAAGCCUGAUGCAGCAACGCCGCGUGAGGGAAGAAGGUUUUCGGAUUGUAAACCUCUGUCCUUGGUGAAGAAGAAAGUGACGGUAACAGGGCUAGGAAGCCACGGCUAACUACGUGCCAGCAGCCGCGGUAAUACGUAGGUGGCGAUCGUUGUCCGGAUUGACUGGGUGUAAAGGGAGCGCAGGCGGGACAGCAAGUUGGAUGUGAAUACCGAGGCUUAACUUCGGAGCUGCAGCCAAAACUGCCGUUCUUGAGUGAAGUAGAGGUAGGCGGAAUUCCGAGUGUAGCGGUGAAAUGCGUAGAUAUUCGGAGGAACACCGGUGGCGAAGGCGGCCUACUGGGCUUUAACUGACGCUGAGGCUCGAAAGUGUGGGGAGCAAACAGGAUUAGAUACCCUGGUA